CAUGGAGGUGGAAUAUGGUCAUGGAACAUUUUUUUGCGACGCGACCCUCGGAGGGGGGGGGGGGGGGGUGGUGUUGCUUCAAUAUUUGUCCAGUGAGCUGCGAGGAGACAAAAUAGCCCAUCUGAUAAUGCCAAAGUGGUCGAAUUUACAUCACGCGAGAGACAAUGCCCCGGAAAAGCACAACAGAAGAGAAUCCUCGUAUCACUGGCAAGCCUACGAAACAUCGCAUCAGUUUCCAGUUUGAAAAUGAUGACAGCACAGAUUGAAAAACUUGUGUCCUUGUGUCUCUCUUUUUUUUUUUUUUUUUUUUUGCAAACUGGGCAAUUCUGCUGCAGUUUAUCACUCAGUUGAGAGAGACAGCCUUCCAAGACGAAUGGCUGCUUGGAUGCGUGCGUAGGAAAGGCCGAUGCAGCAGGCCCAGAUGUACUAUGAGGAGAUGAUGGGUGUGCAUAAGGUAGUAGCGACCAAACUGGCGCCGCUUUAUGCUGACUCUCCACACAUCAGUCCACAGCAAUCUGGGGCUAAUCAAUCUCAAGUUGGAGACAGCAAGUACGUAAGCAAUAGAGUAAACACUAAUAGCAGUAGUAACAUCGCUCCUGAUGUUGUACAAUUGGAAACACGACCAAGGUGUGCUGUCACAAUAUUUGUUUUUUUUUUCUCUACAGCAUUUUUUAUACUAUUAAAAUCUGAGAGGUGUAUGUUCAACUUUGUCAUUAAAGUGAAAAGAGUUUUGUAAUUCUAAGUGUAUGUGCCACUGGUGGCUUUACUCAAGGUAAGCAGAGCUGCAAGUAUUGAUUGGAUUGUGAUAAAGAGCACUGAAUUACUUGACAGUAGCGGGUUACUUUAGGAUGAGAGUUAAGCGUCAUGGGUUUCUUGAAUAAGCAUUUUGUGAUAUAAAUGUAUUUUUUUUUACUCAGUUUAAUUAUGAAUCUUUGCAAGCGGGGCAUUAAAAAUCAGCGACUACAAUGCGUGCUUACUCACUUUGAAUGUGGCUGCGCUCAGAAUCCCAUUCAAACUCAUGUUAAAACGGAAGUUCGCACACACCAGCCGACAUUUAAAGUGCCUCUUUAUGAACCCCCGAAUAAGUUCAGCUGUGCUAAUCGGCUUUUCCUGACAUUUCUUUUGCUUUCUAGCAGAAGCUCGAAGGUUUUUGUGCUAACACGGACUGCCAAUUCAUAAUUCCCCCCCACCUUGACUUCGGCUUCAGUUCCAGCUCAAGGGAAAAACAACUACAAAGCAGGAUCAUGCUACCACCAUGGCC